UACGUAGGGUCCGAGCGUUGUCCGGAGUUACUGGGCGUAAAGCGCGCGCAGGCGGCGGUGCUGGCCCGGCGUGAAAGCCCCCGGCUCAACCGGGGGAGGGUCGUCGGGGACCGCACCGCUUGAGGGCGGUAGGGGCUGGUGGAAUGCCUGGUGUAGUGGUGAAAUGCGUAGAGAUCAGGCGGAACACCCGUGGCGAAGGCGGCCAGCUGGGCCGUCCCUGACGCUGGAGGCGCGAAGGCGUGGGGAGCGAACGGG
rnacentral:rRNA from 1 species